GCUGAACGCUGGCGGCGUGCCUAAUACAUGCAAGUCGAACGGCCGCACAAGAAGCUUUCUCUCUUCCUGGUGGCGGCUGCCGGGUUCGUUCCGCGUAGAUAACCUACCUAUUUGGCUUGGAUAACUACGGGAAACGGGAGAUGCUACUAUAGCAUAUUUUGAACCGCAUAGAUCAUAAGAGCAAGACUCUCUUGCUGUCCCUUCUAGAUGGUACCGCGCUGGAUUAGUGAGUUGGUAAGGUAACGGCUUAUCAAGGCGACGAUGCAUAACUGAGCUGAGAGGAUGAUCAGCCACACUGGAACUGAGACACGGUCCAGACUCCUACGGGAGGCAGCAGUAGGGAAUAUUAGACAAUGGGCGAAAACCUGACGAAGCAACACCGCGUGAGUGAAGAAGGUCUUCGGUUGGUAAAACGCUGUUAUUCGGGAAGAAGAGAUGCAGAAUUAACGGUGAAUAUCUUGACGGUACCGAAUCAAUAAGCUCCGGCUAACUACGUG
rnacentral:rRNA from 1 species